rnacentral:rRNA from 1 species
CCAAGGAGUCUAACAUGUGCGCGAGUCAUGGGGUUGUACGAAACCUAAAGGCGAAAUGAAAGUGAACGAUAAAAGGUACGAUCCCGCUGAAUCCAUUCGGUUGGAUGGCGGGCGCAGUACCGGCCCGUCUCGUCCGCGCCGUCGGAGAGGCGGAGCAAGAGCGUACACGUUGGGACCCGAAAGAUGGUGAACUAUGCUUGAGUAGGAUGAAGCCAGAGGAAACUCUGGUGGAGGUCCGUAGCGAUUCUGACGUGCAAAUCGAUCGUCAAACUUGAGUAUAGGGGCGAAAGACUAAUCGAACCAUCU